AUUGAACGCUGGCGGCAUGCUUUACACAUGCAAGUCGAGCGGCAGCGCGGGGGCAACCCUGGCGGCGAGCGGCGGACGGGUGAGUAGAGCGUCGGAACGUAUCCCGUAGUGGGGGACAACCCAGCGAAAGCUGGGCUAAUACCGCAUAUGCUCUACGGAGGAAAGUGGGGGACUCGCAAGGGCCUCACGCUAUGGGAGCGGCCGAUGUCCGAUUAGCUAGUUGGUGGGGUAAUGGCUCACCAAGGCGACGAUCGGUAGCUGGUCUGAGAGGAUGAUCAGCCACACUGGGACUGAGACACGGCCCAGACUCCUACGGGAGGCAGCAGUGGGGAAUUUUGGACAAUGGGGGCAACCCUGAUCCAGCCAUGCCGCGUGCGGGAAGAAGGCCUUCGGGUUGUAAACCGCUUUUGUCUGGGAAGAAAAGGCGUCCACUAAUACUGGGCGUUCUUGACGGUACUGGAAGAAUAAGCACCGGCUAACUACGUGCCAGCCGCCGGCGUAACAC
rnacentral:rRNA from 1 species